UAUAGGAGAAGGGAACAGACCCCAGGAGACGGGACACAACAUCUGUGGUCAUGUGCCGGAGAGAGACGGAAGGGGAAGGAAUUAUAGGAGAAGGGAACAGACCCCAGGAGACGGGACACAACAUCUGUGGUCAUGUGCCGGAGAGAGACAGAAGGGGAAGGAAUUAUAGGAGAAGGGAACAGACCCCAGGAGACGGGACACAACCCCUGAUUAAUACCUGGUACACUGCUGGGUGGACAGGGGCAGCGUAGGGUACCGGAAAAGCCGCCCAAAUUUUUCCACUCCUCCCUUGAAUCGCACUCGGGCUCUCUCGAUUGUGAGCCGAGUGUGCUAACCACUGCACCACGAAGCCCCGGUGUUCAGGCGAGGCGAAGUAGGAGUUUGUUAGACUGUGGGAAAGAUUACGAGUGUUCUUAGAGUUUGAGGAAGAAAUAGGAGUUUGUUAGACUGUGGGAAAGGUUACGAGCGUUCUAAGAGUUUUUACGGAGGAGUGCAUGACGUGUGUGCCAGCCUGUUGCAUGGGGGCCGACGUGAAUUGGCAAGGCCCAUAGUGCCCCCAUUUUGAAGGGACAACACGCUAUGUGCCUGCCAGUAGGGCCAGGGUGCCAACAUCCCGCCACGCCGAGCCAACACGUGGAGUUCAGGCAGGCACCGUUAACAGGGCCCCGACACUAAGGGCCACCAAUCACUUUGUUUUGAUCGAAAAGACUUAAGGGUACCCAAAAGAGCUUCUAUCGGUUCCAAAUCUGGCACCAACACAAAUAACGGUACCAAAAUCAGACUUAUACGUACCCAAAACAGCUUCUAUCGGUUCCAAAUCUGGUACCAACACAAAUAACGGUACCAAAUUCAGACUUAUAGGUACCCAAAACAGGUUCUAUCGGUUCCAAAUCUGGCGCCAACACAAAUAACGGUACCAAAUUCAGACUUAUAGGUACCCAAAACAGGUUCUAUCGGUUCCAAAUCUGGCGCCAACACAAAUAACGGUACCAAAAUCAGACUUAUAGGUACCCAAAACAGGUUCUAUCGGUUCCAAAUCUGGCACCAACACAAAUAACGGUACCAAAAUCAGACUUAUAGGUACCCAAAACAGGUUCUAUCGGUUCCAAAUCUGGUACCAACACAAAUAACGGUACCAAAAUCAGACUUAUAGGUACCCAAAACAGGUUCUAUCGGUUCCAAAUCUGGCACCAACACAAAUAACGGUACCAAAUUCAGACUUAUAGGUACCCAAAACAGGUUCUAUCGGUUCCAAAUCUGGCGCCAACACAAAUAACGGUACCAAAAUCAGACUUAUAGGUACCCAAAACAGCUUCUAUCGGUUCCAAAUCUGGCACCAACACAAAUAACGGUACCAAAAUGACUUAUAGGUACCCAAAACAGCUUCUAUCGGUUCCAAAUCUGGCACCAACACAAAUAACGGUACCAAAAUCAGACUUAUAGGUGUGUGUGUGUGUGUGUGUGUGUGUGUGUGUGUGUGGGAGGGGCAGCACUCACACGUACCCUGGCGGACAUACCCCCAGUGUCAGACCCGCCCCCAUCAUGCCCCGUACCACCGCCCCGCCGCGCCGUGAGCUACCCAGAAUUCUAUCUAUAUGACUCCCUCGCUCUUCCCUUCGCUAUAAUCAAAUUGUUAUACCUCGCUCGCACAAAUUAUCUCUCUCGCUCUAAUUCUCUCCCCCUCUCUCUCUCUCUCUCUCUCUCCCCGUGGUGGUCAUCGGCGGCGGUGGUAAUGGUGUCGAUCAAUCCCCUCGACCAAGUGUUCGGGAUUAAGGAGCGCACCUACACCCGCUAAUUAACGUUCAUUACCGCCGGCCCCGCGUGAUAAGGGCCGACGGGGGGGGCGGGGAGGCCAGCUUCGACCCCUCCCCUUCCCCCACCCACCCACCUCUACCCCCACCCCCGACCUGUCUUCUGCCGGGGGGUACAAGGCCGGCACGCAAGAGGAAGGGUCUCUCGCCCAAGAAACACAUAUUGGAUACCGCGUUCACAGGAGUUUGGGUCAUUUCCAGGGAGAGUUUAACGACCCUGGUGAUAGUUUGACCCUUCUUCCGUACCCUGAACGUGGAACAAAGACUCUAUCCUCUCCUGCCUUUAAGAAUACCCUCCCAAAGAAACACAUCUUGGAUACCGCGUUCACAGGAGUUUGGGUCAUUUCCAGGGACAGUUUAACGACCCUGGUGAUAGUUUGACCCUUCUUCCGUACCCUGAACGUGGAACAAAGACUCUAUCCUCUCCUGCCUUUCAGAAUACCCUCCCAAGGAAACACAUCUUGGAUACCGUGUUCACAGGAGUUUGGGUCAUUUCCAGGGAGAGUUUAACGACCCUAGCGAUAGUUUGACCCUUCGUCUGUACCCUGAACGUGGAACAAAAACUCAAUCCUCUCCCGUCUUUAAGAAUACCCUCCCAAGGAAACACAUCUUGGAUACCGCGUUCACAGGAGUUUGGGUCAUUUCCAGGGAGAGUUUAACGACCCUGGUGAUAGUUUGACCCUUCUUCCGUACCCUGAACGUGGAACAAAGACUCUAUCCUCUCCUGCCUUUCAGAAUACCCUUCCAAGGAAACACAUCUUGGAUACCUUGUUCGCUGGAGUUUGGGUCAUUUCCAGGGAGAGUUUAACGACCCUAGCGAUAGUUUGACCCUUCCUCUGUACCCUGAACGCGAGACAGAACUCAAGGACCCUCACUGACCACUAAAAACUGAUUCUGGUACCCUUAAGCUAGAUUAUCGGUACCGCUUUUUGUAUUGGUACCAGAUUUGGGACCACUAGAAGCUGUUUUUGGUACCCUUACGCUAGAUUAUCGGUACCGCUUUUUGUAUUGGUACCAGAUUUGGGACCACUAGAUGUUUUUGGUACCCUUAAGCUCGCUUCUCGGUACCGCAUUUUGUAUUGGUACCAGAUUUGGGACCACUAGAUGUUUUUGGUACCCUUAAGCUCGUUUCUCGGUACCGCAUUUUGUAUUGGUACCAGAUUUGGGACCACUAAAAGCUGAUUCUGGUACCCUUAAGCUCGUUUCUCGGUACCGCAUUUUGUAUUGGUACCAGAUUUGGGACCACUAGAAGCUGUUUUUGGUACCCUUACGCUACAUUAUCGGUACCGCUUUUUGUAUUGGUACCAGAUUUGGGACCACUAGAAGCUGUUUUUGGUACCCUUACGCUACAUUAUCGGUACCGCUUUUUGUAUUGGUACCAGAUUUAGGACCACAAGAAGCUGUUUUUGGUACCCUUACGCUAGAUUAUCGGUACCGCAUUUUGUAUUGGUACCAGAUUUGGGACCACUAGAAGCUGUUUUUGGUACCCUUACGCUAGAUUCUCGGUACCGCAUUUUGUAUUGGUACCAGAUUUGGGACCAUUAAAAGCUGAUUCUGGUACCCUUAAGCUCGUUUCUCGGUACCGCAUUUUGUAUUGGUACCAGAUUUGGGACCAUUAAAAGCUGAUUCUGGUACCCUUAAGCUCGUUUCUCGGUACCGCAUUUUGUAUUGGUACCAGAUUUGGGACCACUAGAAGCUGGUUUUGGUACCCUUAAGCUCGUUUCUCGGUACCGCUUUUUGUAUUGGUACCAGAUUUGGGACCAUUAGAAGCUGUUUUGGGUACCCUUAAGCUCGUUUCUCGGUACCGCAUUUUGUAUUGGUACCAGAUUUGGGACCACUAGAAGCUGAUUUUGGUACCCUUAAGCUCGUUUCUCGGUACCGCAUUUUGUAUUGGUACCAGAUUUUGGACCACUAGAAGCUGUUUUUGGUACCCUUACGCUCGUUUCUCGGUACCGCUUUACCGGCACCAAAAUUGACCUGACGGCGCCACUAUAAAUACUUGCCCGCGCCAUAUAACGGAUUGGGGCCAUACCACGUCGACGACCACCGAUCUCUCUCUCUCUCUCUAAUUCUUUCCCUCGCUCUAAUUCUCUCUCUCUCGCUCUAAUUCCCUCGCUCUAAUAUAUUUUGGGGAUUUUUUUUUGUCCUCGCUUUAUUUUUUGUGUGGUUUAGAGUGUCUCUCUCUCUCUCUCUCUCUCUCUCUCUCUCUCUCUCUCUCUCUCUCUCUCUCUCUCUCUCUCUCUCUCUCUCUCUCUCUCUCUCUCUCUCUCUCUCUCUCUCUCAUUUUUUGUGAGGAAUAUGAUUCGCCCUAUUUCUAUAUCUCUCUCUCUCUCUCUCUCUCUCUCUCUCUCUCUCUCUCUCUCUCUCUCUCUCUCUCUCUCUCUCUCUCUCUCUAA